AUUGAACGCUAGCGGGAUGCCUUACACAUGCAAGUCGAACGGAGUGGCGAACGGGUGAGUAAUGUAUCGGAACGUGCCCAGUAGCGGGGGAUAACUACGCGAAAGCGUAGCUAAUACCGCAUACUAUUGGAGCGGCCGAUAGCGGAUUAGCUAGUUGGUGGGGUACCGGCCGACCAAGGCGACGAUCCGUAGCUGGUUUGAGAGGACGACCAGACACACUGGGACUGAGACACGGUCCAGACUCCUACGGGAGGCAGCAGUGGGGAAUUUUGGACAAGGGGGGAAAUCCUGAUCCAGCCAUCCCGCGUGUGCGAAGAAGGUCUUCGGGUUGUAAAGCACUUUUGGCAGGGAGGCGGUACCAGAAGAAUAAGCACCGGCUAACUACGUGCCAGCAGCCGCGGUAAUAA
rnacentral:rRNA from 1 species